GUUAUGAUUUGCUUUUAUUUUAGUAUCUUUGAACCAUUGAAAACAAC
rnacentral:other from 1 species